rnacentral:rRNA from 1 species
GAUGAACGCUGGCGGCGUGCCUAAUACAUGCAAGUCGAGCGAACAGACGAGGAGCUUGCUCCUCUGACGUUAGCGGCGGGCGGGUGAGUAACACGUGGAUCACCUACCUAUAAGACUGGGAUAACUUCGGGAAACCGGAGCUAAUACCGGAUAAUAUAUUGAACCGCAUGGUUCAAUAGUGAAAGGCGGUUUUGCUGUCACUUAUAGAUGGAUCCGCGCCGCAUUUGCUAGUUUGUAAGGUAACGGCUUACCAAGGGAACGAUGCGUAGCCGACCUGAGAGGGUGAUCGGGCACAGUGGAACCGAGAGACGGUCCAGAGUCCGACGGGAGGCAGCAGUAGGGAAGCUUGCGCAGAGGGCGAAAGCCUGACGGAGCAACGGCCGUGAGUGAUGAAGGUCUUCGGAUCGUAAAACUCUGUUAUUAGGGAAGAACAAAUGUGUAAGUAACUAUGCACGUCUUGACGGUACCUAAACAGAAAGCCACGGCUAACUACGUG